CAUGUGAAAUUUAUUUGAUUAAUGUAUAAAUAUUGUAUCAUAGUUAACUAAAAAGUGUUCAUAAAUUGUCGAAUAUGAUAAAUUUUCUAACUUGAUUAUUCAUACAUAUAUGUGAAUUUAUAACAGUUAUAAAAUUCGCUAUAAGAAUUUGUUGCAUCCAGAAAUUAUUAAAAGAUAAAGAAGUAAGUUUAAAUAAAUAUCAAAUAUUUUCGUCACUCAUAGUACAUGGAUAUCUAAAGAUAUAUAAUUGAACUGAACGCGAUGGAAAAAGAGUAACGGCCAUUAUCAGCAAAUUAAUGGUAAUGUGUGCAUGAGAGAGAGACAUAAAUGUAUACAUAGCGUAUAUUGGCAAGCGUAUAUAUCGAUAUAAAAACUAUGCAUACAGAGUAUUUCAUUUUCAGAUGUAGUCUGAAAAAAAGGAUCGAAUAAUUUAAUAUCAUAUAGCAGUUAUCAAAAUAAAGAUUACUCUGUACACACGUAAAUACACGUACAACGAAAUAAUAUAUGGCGGUUAUAUCGUUAACGUUCAUUCUUGCUAUUACUGCAUAUAAUACUAUAAUAUCCACAAUGAUGAAGAGAGUGAAAGAGAUUGACUAGGCACGAGCUAUGAUGCGAUCUAAAUGUGCUCUGAGCGUUUUCUGUGCGUAUAAUUGCGUGUGGAGGGAUUGAAUAGGAUAUGGAUGGAUAAUAAUUACAUAAAGAAGUAGAAGCAUGGAAAAACGAGUGGAUGAAUCAACAGCAUGAAAAUUCAAUUGGGUAAAACUAAGGAAAAUUAGCGGGCAGAAAGAGAAGUGGUGAAUGUAGCUGCGAUAAAGGAAGAUAGAAGAGAUUUGAGAGAAAGACAUAAGAAAAUAUACAUACAUAUAUACAUAUAUAUAUAUAUACUAUAUAUAUACAUAUAUAUAGAGCUGCAGCAAAAGCCUGAGCCACCUGCAGAGUUUUUCCGCUACUUCCAGGUAACCAGUUUCACUGUACCUUUGUUGCGAGGGUGGAGCUGGGGUUUCAGAUCCCGAUUGCAAAAAUCCUCUUUGCAGCACUCGAUGACAAAGGUCGUGUUUCGCGAGUCGCUCGUCAUGCAGAAGAUGAGCGGCUCGGGCUGCGACGACGACAGCUGUUUAUUCACGCACCUUCAAGCCGAGUUUGCACCAUUUUCAGAAUACAAAAAAACAAAAGGAGAGAGAGAGAGAAAGAGAGAGAAAGAGAGAAAAAGAAAGAGAGAGAGAAAAAGAGACAAACCAACGUGUAACCUCGUUGGAGGGGGGGAUGGAUAGUUCGUGCUUUUUGGAUCGCGUUUUCGGGACACUCGAGGUUACUCCGUGAGAGAAUAUCAAUGGCGGCGUUGGAAUACACGCGUAUAUUGGAUGGUUCAAAAUUGCACGAGUUAACGUGCUUCGUGGCCUUCUUUUCUUAAAUUAAACACAGGCUGAAAAAUUAAAGGGUAACAAAAAGAGAGAAACAAGGAUUCAAGAAAUAUUCGUAAUAAUUCUUUUACUCGAUUUGAUAAACGAAGAUUUAAAGAUUGCAUAACAAUGAAGUCAUGGAACAUUCAACAACGAUGAAAUCAUUAUCUAUAAAUAUCUAUCCCCGUUUGGGAACAUAACGAAAGAAGCAACAUCCAUUCAAGAGGAGAGAAAACGCGUCGAAAAAAUUAUUUAUAAACAUCGACAAUUAAAAAUAUUACGUUACGCAAUUCGUUCAAAUGUACAAAAAAUAAUUCGUAUGCAAAAAACAA